AAACCAAAUAGAGGCGCGGCUUUCAAAAGUAGCGGGAUGGAGGUUGCCGGAACUGAUGAAAUCUUGUGAAAGGGUGGGCUGCCGAAGGAGGAUGCCUGGCAGGUAUCUUCCUGGUUGCAACAGCAAACAGCUUUGCGACUGUCAUCACUUGUGAUGGAGUGCUAUUGAGACA
rnacentral:ncRNA from 2 species